UGCGAGCCUGUUGUGUGUGUAUACCCCGGGCAGCGGCGUGCAAUAGCGUGGUGGUCCUCACUGCCCUGGCGGUUGGUGCACGCUCAACACGUCGUCGAAGGACUGAGCGGUAACAACAGCAGCUGGUGCGACGGCGAGAGAGAUGCGAGGCGACAGUCACCGUUUGGGGGACGUUUCGUUAGUCUGUGAUGAUGUAGAUGUUGAAUGUUGGGUUGUUAUGGUGUAAAUGUUGAAUGUUAGUCUGUGUUUAAUGUUGGGUUGUGCUGUGAUGUAAAUUCUGAAUGUUAGUCUGUGUUGAAUGUUGGGUUGGGGUGAUGUAAAUGUUGAGUGUAUGGUUAUGAUGUAAAUGUUGAGUGUUGGGUUGGGGUGAUGUAAAUGUUGAAUGUUGGGUUGGGGUGAUGUAAAUGUUGAAUGUUGGGUUGUUAUGAUGUAAAUGUUGAAUGUAGGUUGUGGUGAUGUAAAUGUUGAAUGUUGGGUUGUUAUAGUGUAAAUGUUGAGUGUUGGGUUGUGGUGAUGUAAAUGUUGAAUGUUAGUUGUUAUGAUGUAAAUGAUGAAUGUAGGUUGUAGUGAUGUAAAUGUUGAGUGUUAGGUUGUUAUGAUGUAAAUUCUGAAAGUUAGUUUGUGAUUUUUGUUGAGAUCGUGAUGGUAUUUAGAUUUAUGAUUGUGAUUGUAAGAGACGAAUAAAUUGAGAUUUUUAAUGUGUUGAUGUUGUGAGAUUUAUAUUCAUAUUUUGUUAUAGAUGUAGCAUUAGGAAUAUUUUUAAAUAAUAUGUAAUUCAUAUUAAGUUACAGUGAUGAUCAUUAUGAAAUAAUAAAAGGAAUUGAACCACA